AUUUAUUUUUGUAGUUUUCUAAUAUUUCUCUCGCCUCUCUAGAUUAUUGAGUUAGUUGAGCAGUCGAAAGGAUGAUCAUCUGUUGAAGAAAGUGGAAAUACUGGAAAUACAAUGCUUGGCAUUUCUAAGGAAGAGUUGUACAACUUACCUACUGCAGACUUUGUUCACAGGCGUUUUCUCAUAUUCAGGCCGCUUACUGUGUUCCAUGUCGCAUUUCACACUUGUGCAGAUCUUAAGAAUGUAGAGGCUACCGAGACUUUACUCGAGAUGCUAAAAAGCGAUGGUAAAAAUCCAGACGUCUUUAUUACCAUGCAAAUUUUGAGAUGAUAUCUGAAUGCUGGAAACAUCGACCGAGCUGUUCAAAUUUUCGAGGACUACCUUAGUGAAGGAAAACCUCCCGCUAUGGAACUUUAUGCAGUAAGUUUAAUCAUUACUUGCUAAGAUAAUUUUUUUGUUGAUCUUUUAGUUUUCUCCGCGAUGU